ACAUACCCACAUUGCAGUCUGUUGCAUCAUACCACAUCAACUAUGGGCUCACCCUGAACAGCUGACUGCUUUCCUAGUGUCUGUACACAGCUGACACUUCAGAAGAGGUGGCUGUAUUCUGGAAAUUUUCCACCCAGUAGCUGUAAUGCAGGCCACACAUUUUUAUGAACUCCCAUCUUUGGACUCAGUGGACUGGAUCCCUAGCAUGGACCUGCUCUGCAAAUCAAUCUUGGAGCUUUGGCUGCAAACUAGGCAAUGACUUCAGCUUCCAGCCUUUGGACCUUGCUGUACCUUUGCCUGCUGGACUGAAGAGCCCUCUACUAUUAUUAUCAGAUUCUGUUUCCCCACAGGUAUUUGCAGAAUGUGAUCACCCAUGGGCUGCACUUUGAUAAGCUGAAUAGAUGCAGUCUAAUUCUCUUCUCUAAGGCAUGUUUUACAAAUCUUCAACCUUCUGGCAGCUUUUUUGUGAACACUCUCCAAUCUGCAGCAACUUUCCAGAAGCAUGGACACCAGAACUAGACACAGUAUUCCAAUAAGACCUCUCUACCCUUUCCCUGCCUUCCCAUGCUUAUUCAUCCAAGCUCCUAUGACCAUAGCAGGACAUGGGGUGCUUAUGAUAACUGAUUAUCCACAUCAUCCAUAAGGCUUUUUCAGGUGUCUCUCUCCAAGAUAAUGCAUUCCCACCCUGUAAGCAUACCCUGAAUUUUUGGUCCUAGACGUUCUUAUAUUUAAACAUUAGGAUGGUCCUAGCCUUUGAAGUGGGAAAACCACCAGAGCACAAGCAACUUCACGAUUUAACAAAUAUUUGGGUAGAUUGAGGACUGGAACACUUGCCAUUUCUGAGAUGUUACCUAGCUAUUUCUCUACUGAAUGUAUCCCAAGCUUAAUAUUAGUUAUUUUCAAAUAUGAUAGCAAAGGGGCUCACUUCUGUUCUUGUCUUCCCUGCUAGUUCUGCUGUAUGGGAUAGUUGGCCAGUUGCUCCAAAGCUCCAUUCACCAGACUUUCUAUUAAGUGGAGGGAAAAGGUGUCAUUUUUCUUACCUGGCAGACUAGCAACCCAAGGGCCUUGGCAGGAGCCCAAGCAGUAAUAUUUUAUUUGCUCUGCCAAAGCUGUAUCAGCAACUGGCACAGUUCUUUGAAUGAUGCAACUGAGGGUUUUCAUGUGUACUGCAUUGGGGCAGUCAAUCUUUUGCAAGAGAACAUAAAAGGUGA